rnacentral:rRNA from 1 species
UACGGGAGGGGCAAGCGUUGUUCGGAAUUACUGGGCGUAAAGGGCUCGUAGGCGGCCAACUAAGUCAGAUGUGAAAUCCCCAGGCUUAACCUGGGAACUGCAUCUGAUACUGGAUGGCUUGAAUCCGGGAGAGGGAUGCAGAAUUCCAGGUGUAGCGGUGAAAUGCGUAGAUAUCUGGAGGAAUACCGGUGGCGAAGGCGGCAUCCUGGACCGGCAUUGACGCUGAGGAGCGAAAGCUAGGGGAGCAAACAGG